rnacentral:rRNA from 1 species
GACGAACGCUGGCGGCGUGCCUAAUACAUGCAAGUUGAGCGCUGAAGGUUGGUACUUGUACCAACUGGAUGAGCAGCGAACGGGUGAGUAACGCGUGGGGAAUCUGCCUUUGAGCGGGGGACAACAUUUGGAAACGAAUGCUAAUACCGCAUAAAAACUUUAAACACAAGUUUUAAGUUUGAAAGAUGCAAUUGCAUCACUCAAAGAUGAUCCCGCGUUGUAUUAGCUAGUUGGUGAGGUAAAGGCUCACCAAGGCGAUGAUACAUAGCCGACCUGAGAGGGUGAUCGGCCACAUUGAGACUGAGACACGGCCCAAACUCCUACGGGAGGCAGCAGUAGGGAAUCUUCGGCAAUGGACGAAAGUCUGACCGAGCAACGCCGCGUGAGUGAAGAAGGGUUUCGGAUCGUAAAACUCUGUUGGUAGAGAAGAACGUUGGUGAGAGUGGAAAGCUCAUCAAGUGACGGUAACUACCCAGAAAGGGACGGCUAACUACGUG